rnacentral:rRNA from 1 species
GAUGAACGCUGGCGGCGUGCCUAAUACAUGCAAGUCGAACGCACAGCGAAAGGUGCUUGCACCUUUCAAGUGAGUGGCGAACGGGUGAGUAACACGUGGACAACCUGCCUCAAGGCUGGGGAUAACAUUUGGAAACAGAUGCUAAUACCGAAUAAAACUCAGUGUCGCAUGACACAAAGUUAAAAGGCGCUUUGGCGUCACCUAGAGAUGGAUCCGCGGUGCAUUAGUUAGUUGGUGGGGUAAAGGCCUACCAAGACAAUGAUGCAUAGCCGAGUUGGGAGACUGAUCGGCCACAGUGGGACUGAGACACGGCCCAAACUCCUACGGGAGGCUGCAGUAGGGAAUCUUCCACAAUGGGCGAAAGCCUGAUGGAGCAACGCCGCGUGUGUGAUGAAGGCUUUCGGGUCGUAAAGCACUGUUGUAUGGGAAGAACAGCUAGAAUAGGGAAUGAUUUUAGUUUGACGGUACCAUACCAGAAAGGGACGGCUAAAUACGUGCCAGCAGCCGCCGUAA